rnacentral:ncRNA from 2 species
UGAACAAGCUAGGGGUGCCGUAUGGCUGAGAAGGAAAUUUCCUAACUCUUAGAACCUGAAUUAGUUAAUACUAACGUAGGGAAGCUUAAUUACUUGUUA